rnacentral:rRNA from 1 species
GAUGAACGCUGGCGGCGUGCCUAAUACAUGCAAGUCGAGCGAACAGACGAGGAGCUUGCUCCUCUGACGUUAGCGGCGGACGGGUGAGUAACACGUGGAUAACCUACCUAUAAGACUGGGAUAACUUCGGGAAACCGGAGCUAAUACCGGAUAAUAUAUUGAACCGCAUGGUCCAAUAGUGAAAGACGGUUUUGCUGUCACUUAUAGAUGGAUCCGCGCCGCAUUAGCUAGUUGGUAAGGUAACGGCUUACCAAGGCAACGAUGCGUAGCCGACCUGAGGGGGUGAUCGGCCACACUGGAACUGAGACACGGUCCAGACUCCUACGGGAGGCAGCAGUAGGGAAUCUUCCGCAAUGGGCGAAAGCCUGACGGAGCAACGCCGCGUGAGGGAUGAAGGUCUUCGGAUCGUAAAGCUCUGUUAUUAGGGAAGAACAAAUGUGUAAGUAACUAUGCACGUCUUGACGGUACCUAAUCAGAAAGCCACGGCUAACUACGUG